rnacentral:rRNA from 1 species
UGGGGAAUCUUCCGCAAUGGACGAAAGUCUGACGGAGCAACGCCGCGUGAGUGAAGACGGCCCUCGGGUUGUAAAGCUCUGUGAUCCGGGACGAAAGAGCCUGAGGUGAAUAGCCUAAGGAAGUGACGGUACCGGAAAAGCAAGCCACGGCUAACUACGUGCCAGCAGCCGCGGUAAUACGUAGGUGGCAAGCGUUGUCCGGAAUUAUUGGGCGUAAAGCGCGCGCAGGCGGCUUCCUAAGUCCAUCUUAAAAGUGCGGGGCUUAACCCCGUGAUGGGAUGGAAACUGGGAAGCUGGAGUAUCGGAGAGGAAAGUGGAAUUCCUAGUGUAGCGGUGAAAUGCGUAGAGAUUGGGAAGAACACCGGUGGCGAAGGCGACUUUCUGGACGAAAACUGACGCUGAGGCGCGAAAGCGUGGGGAGCAAACAGG